CCUACGGGCGGCAGCAGUAGGGAAUAUUGGUCAAUGGAUGCAAGUCUGAACCAGCCAUGCCGCGUGCAGGAAGAAGGCCUUAUGGGUUGUAAACUGCUUUUACCAGGGGAUAAAACGACCCUGCGGAGUUAAUUGAAGGUACCUGGUGAAUAAGCCACGGCUAACUACGUGCCAGCAGCCGCGGUAAUACGUAGGUGGCAAGCGUUGUCCGGAUUUAUUGGGUUUAAAGGGUGCGUAGGCGGUCUUUUAAGUCAGUGCUGAAAUACUCCAGCUUAACUGGAGGGGUGGCAUUGAUACUGGAAGACUUGAGUGCAGUCGAGGUAGGCGGAAUUGACGGUGUAGCGGUGAAAUGCUUAGAUAUCGUCAAGAACACCGAUAGUGAAGACAGCUUACUAGGCUGCAACUGACGCUGAGGCACGAAAGUGUGGGGAUCAAACAGGAUUAGAUACCCUGGUAGUC
rnacentral:rRNA from 1 species